rnacentral:rRNA from 1 species
GAUUAACGCUGGCGGCGUGCAUAACACAUGCAAGUCGAACGAUGAAACUUUAAUGAACCCUUCGGGGGAAUUAAAGCGGAUUAGUGGCGAACGGGUGAGUAACGCGUGAGUAACCUGCCUUACACAAGGGGAUAGCCUUUGGAAACGAAGAAUAAUACCCUAUAAAACCAUAAAAGCACAUGCAAUUAUGGUCAAAGUGAUAGCGGUGUAAGAUGGACUUGCGUCUGAUUAGCUAGUUGGUGAGAUAAAAGCCCACCAAGGCAACGAUCAGUAGCCGGCUUGAGAGAGUGUACGGCCACAUUGGGACUGAGACACGGCCCAGACUCCUACGGGAGGCAGCAGUGGGGAAUUUUGCACAAUGGGGGAAACCCUGAUGCAGCGACGCCGCGUGAUUUAGAAGGCCUUCGGGUUGUAAAAUUCUUUUGUAUAGGAAGAAAAUGACAGUACUAUACGAAUAAGGUCCGGCUAAUUACGUG